rfam:Geoalkalibacter subterraneus strain Red1 plasmid pGSTB1, complete sequence.
GUCAACGACCCGCCACCAAACCUAACGGUUAUGGUGGGGGCUUGUGAAAGCAAGUCCGCAAGUUGACCAGGCACAGCCACUAGCGAGAGACCGCUGAUGGGGCUACGUUAGCGGCGAAUACAUAGGCACCUUGGAAUGCCCACCCAGUUCCAAGCUCUGCGAUCUGCGAUUAAACAGGUGUACCGGGUUAAGCCAGUGUCGCAGAUAUAGAAAACCGCCGAUUAACAUUGCCGAGGGUAACAUGAC